GGAAUCUGUUAAAUCCUGCAGUAAAUCAUCUUGAAAAAAGUUCUACAGUCUCUGCCAGGAACUCUGGAACUUGCGUGCCACCUGAAACAAACAAAAUAUGCAUCAGGGUCUUUUCAGAUGAGUCAGCUCUUCACAUCAGAUGGCCAAAGGAUUAGAGUUUCAGCUUCAACAUCAGUCCUUCCAAUGAACACCCAGGACUGAUCUCCUUUAGGAUGGACUGGUGUGCGACGCAAGAGUGGCAGCUGCGUGGCACAGGAGCGGUGGAGAGGAGCUACCCAGCAUCCAAGGUCAGGAGCAGCAUCCAAGGUCAGGUGUGACAGCCCUGAGGAAAUACCCCACGUCCAAGGUCAUCCAGAGGAACCUAGAAGAGUGGAGGGAAAAUAUUC
ensembl:lncRNA